rnacentral:rRNA from 1 species
AACGGAGGCGCCCAAAGGUUCCCUCAGCCUGGUUGGCAAUCAGGUGUUGAGUGUAAGUGCACAAGGGAGCUUGACUGUGAGACCGACGGGUCGAGCAGGGACGAAAGUCGGGACUAGUGAUCCGGCGGUGGCUUGUGGAAGCGCCGUCGCUCAACGGAUAAAAGGUACCCCGGGGAUAACAGGCUGAUCUUCCCCAAGAGUCCAUAUCGACGGGAUGGUUUGGCACCUCGAUGUCGGCUCGUCGCAUCCUGGGGCUGGAGUCGGUCCCAAGGGUUGGGCUGUUCGCCCAUUAAAGCGGUACGCGAGCUGGGUUUAGAACGUCGUGAGACAGUUCGGUCCCUAUCCGCUGUGCGCGUAGGAGUCUUGAGAAGGGCUGUCCCUAGUACGAGAGGACCGGGACGGACGAACCUCUGGUGUGCCAGUUGUUCUGCCAAGGGCAUGGCUGGUUGGCUACGUUCGGGAGGGAUAACCGCUGAAAGCAUCUAAGCGGGAAGCCUGCUUCGAGAUGAGGGCUCCCACCCACUUGAUGGGGUAAGGCUCCCAGUAGACGACUGGGUUGAUAGGCCGGAUAUGGAAGCACGGUAACGUGUGGAGUUGACCGGUACUAAUAGGCCGAGGGCUUGUCCUC